rnacentral:rRNA from 1 species
UUCCGGUUGAUCCUGCCGGACCCGACUGCUAUCAGAGUGGGACUAAGCCAUGCGAGUCAACGUAGAAAUACGUGGCGAACGGCUCAGUAACACGUAGUCAACAUGCCCAGAGGACGUGGAUAACCUCGGGAAACUGAGGAUAAACCAUGAUAGGCCAUGAUCUCUGGAAUGGUUUAUGGCUGAAAUCUAUAUGGCCUCUGGAUUGGACUGCGGCCGAUCAGGCUGUUGGUGAGGUAAUGGCCCACCAAACCUGUAACCGGUACGGGCUCUGAGAGGAGGAGCCCGGAGAUGGGCACUGAGACAAGGGCCCAGGCCCUAUGGGGCGCAGCAGGCGCGAAAUCUCUGCAAUAGGCGAAUGCUUGACAGGGUUACUCUGAGUGAUUCCCGCUAAGGGGAUCUUUUGGCACCUCUAAAAAUGGUGCAGAAUAAGGGGUGGGCAAGUCUGGUGUCAGCCGCCGCGGUAAUACCAGCACCCCGAGUGGUCGGGACGAUUAUUGGGCCUAAAGCAUCCGUAGCCGGUACUGCAAGUCUUCCGUUAAAUCCACCUGCUCAACAGUUGGGCUGCGGAGGAUACUACAGCGCUAGGAGGCGGGAGAGGCAAGCGGUACUCAGUGGUAGGGGUAAAAUCCACUGAUCCAUUGAAGACCACCAGUGGCGAAAGCGGCUUGCCAGAGCGCGCUCGACGGUGAGGGAUGAAAGCUGGGGGAGCAAACCGGAUUAGAUACCCGGGUAGUCCCAGCUGUAAACGAUGCAGACUCGGUGAUGGGCUGGGCCUUGUGCCAACCCAGUGCCGCAGGAAAGCCGUUAAGUCUGCCGCCUGGGGAGUACGGUCGCAAGACUGAAACUUAAAGGAAUUGGCGGGGGGAGCACCACAAGGGGUGAAGCCUGCGGUUCAUGGAAUCACGCGG